CUAGUAUAGCAAUUAUACCGCGAAACUGCAGAAUGGCUCAUUAUAUAAGUUAUCGUUUAUUUGAUAGUACCUUACUACUUGGAUAACCGUGGUAAUUCUAGAGCUAAUACAUGCUAAAAAUCCCGACUUCGGAAGGGAUGUAUUUAUUAGAUUAAAAACCAAUGCCCUUCGGGGCUCACUGGUGAUUCAUGAUAACUCCUCGAAUCGCAUGGCCUUGUGCCGGCGAUGGUUCAUUCAAAUUUCUUCCCUAUCAACUUUCGAUGUUUGGGUAUUGGCCAAACAUGGUUGCAACGGGUAACGGAGGGUUAGGGCUCGACCCCGGAGAAGGAGCCUGAGAAACGGCUACUACAUCCAAGGAAGGCAGCAGGCGCGCAAAUUACCCAAUCCCGACACGGGGAGGUAGUGACAAUAAAUACUGAUACAGGGCUCUUUUGGGUCUUGUAAUUGGAAUGAGUACAAUUUAAAUCCCUUAACGAGGAACAAUUGGAGGGCAAGUCUGGUGCCAGCAGCCGCGGUAAUUCCAGCUCCAAUAGCGUAUAUUAAAGUUGUUGUGGUUAAAAAGCUCGUAUUGGAACCUUGGGCCUGAUUUGGCCGGUCCGCCUCACCGCUUGUACAGGUCCGGCAGGGCCUUUCCCUCUGUGAAACCCCCUGCCCUUCCCUGGGUGUGG
rnacentral:rRNA from 1 species